AGGUGAUUGAGGGCUGUUGGAAGUGAGCUCUCAGGAAGGACUUCCCAGUACCGAGUUGAAUGUGGCUCUCAGCCCUGCCAGGUGGGAGGUCCAUUCUGCUGGCCCCUCCCUCACUGCUCAACACAGCCUGAUGCUGCCAACGCCCUGCUGCCACUGCCGAUGCUGAUACUGGACGGCCUAAGAAAUAGGUUGGAGAGGAAAAGGCCAGAGCAGGCCAUCCUCAUCACACACCAAGAAGUGGGCUGGCAGGAUGCCCAUCCAUAUGGGGAAACUGAGGCUCCGGAGAGCAGGCUGUCCAGAAGCCAGCUAGUCAAAGCUGGGAUCCCAGAGCCCAGCAUUGGAACAGGGCAGCAGGGAAGAUGACAGAUCCUUGAGGCUGGGGACCCCCAUCUGCCCCAUCCCCAGAGAAUCCUCGGACAGGAAGGGAGGAUACCCGAGGAGCAGGAGAACAAGCUUAGUCUCCGCUGCCCCGGGGCCUCAGUCUACUUGUCAGUGAAAUGGAGACAGCCUCGGGCUACCUGUCAGUGCUUUCAUCUUUGGUGAUGAAGCCCGAGGUUCCAGCACUCAGAGGAAAUGGAAGGGCCCCAGAGAAACUGCCUCUUCGCUUUUGGACCUCUGGUUACUCUCAAACAGUCUGUGCCUUGGUUUCCCUCCUGCAUGGGGAUCCCAUGCUGGCACAGGGUAGCGGGGUGCUGUGUCUCCUCGCUUCUCUCCUCCCUGUACUGUUUCCCCGCUUCUCCCUCACCCCCCUCUCCCAGAACCCUGGAGGGCUGCUCUGAUGAGAGGUUCAUUUUCCUUUCAUUGUGCAGGUGACAGACCCUGCUGCCAAUAAUCUCCUGUGACAAAUCAACACUGAAGUCCAGCGGCUCCCUGGCCUUGGCGGACUCCAAGAUGCUCUGAGGAUGCAGGGUGACAGGUCUGGCUGCAGUCUCAGGAAGAGGGACCUAUCCUGAAGGGGAUCCUGAAAUGCCUGGGACAACAAGGAGCCAUGGAAGGUUUGUAAGCUGAGGAUGAAUGGGAAGAAAUCCAAUUUCCCUCCUUGUCUCUCUGUCUCCGCAGCACGGGGCUUUCAGGGUAGGUCCAGCCAGCCUCUGGGGUUCCAAGCCCCCACCCUGUCAUGGGUGAAGGAUGUGAAGAGGGUUAGAAGUAGGACCAGUGUGCCACUCUCUGGAUAGGUGAUCUCACAGAUGAGUGGGAGAGCCUGAGCCUGGCAGGAACUCUGACCUGGGGGUUGGGGGUCGGGGUGGGCAGAAUUUCCCCUAAUGGUCUCAUUUUGUGUCUCUUCCUUAUUCUGAGGCAGGGGAUCUGUCUGCACUGAUGCAUUUUUCAGAUGAGGAAGUCACCAAGAAAUCAACAUCCCUGGCCUCUGAAUGGGUAAACUGAGGCACAGAGAGGCUCUGGUGCUUAAGCUGCAUGUCUCUCCUGUACCUUUUCUUCUGCUCCCGUGUGUGCCUGCCAUGCUCCAUCUUGCUGAGAAAAGAGACGAAGCUGUGAGGAGGGGCGUGCUCUGAGCCCCGGCUGACUAGCUACUGGAAGAGUUGCUCAACCCUCCUCCCCAGGUGGAGUAUGACAGGGCCUGCCACAGUGACACCUCUGAAGACCUGUCCCUUCAGUGAGGACUGACUGAAGGCCAAGGGUAGCUGCAUCCAGGAACAGUGUUGGACAGGUUUGCCAAGCUGCCAGGCAGGCCAACUCCCCCAGCUGCUCUUUCUGGGAUUCCACACAGUCCAGUGUGCAGAGCGGCGGACUGAGUGCGCCAGCCACACGCAGGGCUCCCUGAAGGACAGGUCACCACUUGCAGAGGGCCCUCAAGGGAGCUGUCUUAGGAAGCCGCAGAUGAGAGGUGUGGACAGUGCCACCACACCAUGCUUCAGGAAGACCCUUCUCCACUGGAGCAGCAUUUGGGGUCGUCCUAGGAAACGGAGACCACCGGAAAAAGCUGAGGGACCUAACAAUGCAGGAGAGUUGGGAGACAGAAGGAGAGUAGCCGAGGUCCUGGGAAGGAGCGGGUGGUGUCAGCACAGUCUAAGACCAUGGAACCUCAUGGCGCAAUUGGAGGGAGCAGCAGCAGUGUCUUGGGCCAGGGCCAAGCUUCAUCCAGGGCAAACCCAUGGGAGACUCCCAGCUUCCCUCAAGAGCCUGUUCGAGGGCCUCCUGCUUGCCCAUCACGCCAACCCCUCAGGAAACCAUUGACGGGGAGCCCGAAGAAACUGUUUCCGAAGCCCAGGCAUCUUGAGCUGCUGGGCAGACCAGUCCUGCCAGGGACAGCAAGAGGGCUGGUGUUCUCUGCCUGAUGCUGUCCACUGCUCCAAGUGUGGCCUGGCCCCUGCAAGGCCCUCUUCAGCCUGAGGAGGUUUGACUGUUCACUCAUCAAGGAUCCCUCUGGCCUUUAGGUCCCAACUGGGGGGUUGAACUGGGGUUGCAGACUGCGUAGCCUCUUCCAAAAGCUUGGCACUCAGCCCCAGCUGGGAGAGGAGAGCAGACUGGGGGAGGUUGGACUUUCACGAACCUUCCAAGACAGAGAGGCAGAGAAAGCAUCGGGCAGGUUCUAAGAGCUGUUGUGGGCACCGGAUCUUGUAGACAGAAUUGUGCACAGUGCAAAGAUGCCCACCAGGGCCAAUAGGCCUGAGUGUCAACCUAAGCUGUGACUUGAAACUUGGAGAGAGAUUUAAAAAAACAUUUGUUUUUAUACGUGUGUAUGUGUGAGUGGGGUCAUCUGUGGAGGUUAGAAGUGUCAUCUCCUCUCUCCUGGAGCUCGAGUUACAGGUGAGUGUGAGCCCGCUGGCAUGGGUGCUGGGAAUCGAACUGGGGCCCUCUAGGAGAGCAGUGUUAACCAUCUCUCCAGCCUGAGAGGAAUGGUUCCUGGGACUAAAAUUCCAGGCCCGUGAGCACUGGAGAACUUGCAACAGGCCACUCACAAUCAUCAUCAGAGACAGGACCUGCACGGAGGGCUGGAGGUGCUGGGGUUCCAGUUAGCCCUAGCCAUAGGGCAGGAUUUCUGUGGUCCCUGAAGUGCCCCCAGGCCCACCUUCAAACUCCCUAUCCAGAGCCCUGGGAGAUAGUCAGGCUGGUGGUGGGCACUGGGUUCUGAGGAUAAUUCCAGACAAGAUUAAGAAGGGAGAGCUGGAGGGAGGGGGGGGGGGCUGAGAUGAGAGAGGGAGCAGCCAAUGAGUGUUGGAGAGUCCCUUGAUCAUUCCAGUGAUGUUGGGACAUACUGUGUGUACAUCAGAGGCCUGCUGGGUAAUGGACAGGGUCCCGAGGUCCUCUGGGGGCUGUACCUGCAGACCCGUGAAGCUGGGCUAACGCUCUCUGUCAUGGAUUCUGCCAGCCCUCAAGGAAGUGGCAGGGGCUGCACCCCAGGGUGGGGCACAGGGAGCAGGAGGCGGUGUGGUGAGGGCCACACCCCCUGUCUUUGUCGUCCUUUCCACAGGACGCCUUUCCUUGGCUCCGUCCUCACACCCUCCUGUCACUGAUGUUAUUUUUAAAGUUUCAUUUUGUAAACGUUUGUGCUUUAUUUGUUUAUUCGCUGGAAUUACCGGUGCAUUUACGCCUUCAAUAUUUAAAAGCUGGGCAGGAGCAGGAGAACUGACGAGGACGGGGGUGAAGCGUCUGAGAGCAAGUAACCCUGACCUAUGGUCCUCCAGCCCGGCUCCUGGCCUUAGCAGGGGCCCAGUCAGUAGCUACUGCAGUUGAUGCUGAAGACCCCGGAGUCUGUCUGAAAGACCACUAGGAAUUCCCAGCUCCCUCUCGAUUUCCUGACUCCCACACCACAUCAAAUCAGAGGGAUUCCCAGACUCCUGGCUCCAGGCAUCCUCCUGCCUCAUCCUCUGGAACAGAUGGGAUUGGGCACAUGUCAUUGUGCCCGGUCAUUCUGCUUACCCACAUCUUUGAAAAUAUCCCAAAGAAGGAAGAGAUUGUUAGUCCUUGUCACUGACCCUGUGAUUUGCUGUGUGACUUUGGGACGUACACUUGCCCUCUCUGGGUCCACAUUCACUCACCUGUCACCCAACCUAACAGCUUUCAAACCCUAGCUGCAUGUCAGUACUCUGCCCAUUCCUAACCACCACCACCCCACACCCCAUGUUAGUCAGAACACUCGCUCUCCUGAGGGAAUCGGCAGGCCCAGAAACUGCUCCUAUGACGUGCAGACCGAAGGACCUCGGCUACUGAGUCAGGGUCCAGCUUUGGCCUCUGACAGAUGAGGACCCUGGGCCCAGGCCUCUCUGUUCUGCUGGUUCCCUUGCCCAGCGGCCAGGGGUGAUGAUUCUGCCUAUGUAGUCCAGGCUGGUCUAGAACUCAAGGCACCCUUCCUGCAUCCUCCUCCCGAAUGCUGGGAUCACAGGGGUGCGCUGCCUCAAACAGCUUCCCAGGUCUCUCAAGUGUUCCUCCCAUGCUCCAAGUGCCCAGGAUCCUGCUGUAGGCAGGGGA